ensembl:lncRNA
UAUUAUUAUUAUGGACACGCCAGCUCCACUUUUGAGGCAAACUGGAUAUAAUUGUACCACGGCCAGAUGUAGCCCACAGAGUUUGAGUUUGACAUGCCUGCUCUACACCAUAUGUGAUCAUUUUAAAUAUAUUUGUUUUAACUUAAGAGACUCGUAGUGAAUUUGUGUUUUAAUACAGGUAAAUGCAGAAUUCACCCUCAUCACCACAGUCCCCCUGUUCUCAACCUUUAUGUCCCGACUGGAUCAUUACUAUAGCCAGCUAUUGAGGGUAUUCAAAAAGGAGGGGGGAACAGCAAGACGUGAUAUCGACGUAAUCAUUGCAGAAAUGGACAUGGCUACUGAGGAUAUUGGUAUUGAUGCAAUGACAGAAAUGGAGAGACUGGCUUUGGGUGUCUACAUUGUUCGACAUGAUGGAGCAGAUGCUUCAGAUCCACCUGAGGAUGUUGGCGUCGUCAUUGAAGGCUGCACAGUGCUGCGAGAUCUGAGAGAGGUUGCAAAUGGAUGUGCAGUCCUGUUUGGCUUGAUCUAGUGUUUAAACUUGAGCUAUCCCAAGGAGCUGCAAUACACUUUCGAAUUUCUUCAGAAAGUGUCUAUGGAAUUGGAUGGGAACAAGCUCUCCACUAAAGUGCAGGUCCUCAAAAACAAACUGCAUGAGUAAAAUCACCUGCACCAGACAAGACUGGACCUGGCUUUGGACACUUUAAUUGUGUUGACUGUUACUUUAUUUUUGGACUGCUGCUAGACAAAAUAAAGCUGUGAUCAAUGAUGGUUUGUAAUAAGCAGACAGGACUGCAGUUGGUCAUCGACUUGCUUGGGGAGGCUCAGUUCUUUGGAUUUUGGACUGCUGCUAGACAAAACAUCUAGCAAUCUAAAGACAAUGUUGGUUGUGGUAAUUGGCAUUUAAACUUCUCUUGUUUUCUGAUUUCUUCAGAAUCAAAAGAUGUGAAAUACAACAAACACUGGUUUGUUAUAAUGAAACCAUCUCAAACAAUUUAAGGUGAAGAUUGUUUUUUGUUACGUAAACAUUGCUGAUUUUCUAUUUCUCCUGUUGAUGCAAACUAUAAACCUUGUAUUUUUCAUAAAAAUGUUCUUGAUAAGUCAGCAUGUAUGUAAAGUCUGAACUUAGUAUGUUCUAACGGUGAAGUGAGAAUUUUCUGCAGCAUGAAUCCUCUUGAUUGUAAACUUCAGUUAAUUUAACCUCCCUCCAUAUAGAAAACAAGGAUUUGCCUCUUUAGUUUUUAUUUCAGUAGGCAACACCUGUUAGACAUUGUUGACGUCAAAGUUCAGAUUUACUAUAAAGCUGUAAUGGGAUUGAACAUUAUCGGAUGGUGAAAGAUUCACAGACAAGUUUUAUAUUUUAGAUUUUUUUUUUUUUUUUUAUAGUGGUCUAUUCUUUGCACAUUUUU